rnacentral:rRNA from 1 species
GUGAGAUGUUGGGUUAAGUCCCGCAACGAGCGCAACCCUUAUCCAUAAUUGCUAAUAUUAAGUUAAGGACUUUAUGGAGACUGCUAGCGACAAGUUAGAGGAAGGUGGGGACGACGUCAAAUCAUCACGGCCCUUAUGUCUUGGGCUACACACAUGCUACAAUGGUUAAUACAGAGGGUUGCGAAGUAGUGAUGCGGAGCUAAUCUCUUAAAAUUAACCGUAAUUCGGAUUGUAGGCUGAAACUCGCCUACAUGAAGUCGGAAUCGCUAGUAAUCGCAGGUCAGAUAUACUGCGGUGAAUAUGUUCUCGGUCCUUGUACACACCGCCCGUCACACCACCUGAAUUGGUUUUUCUUGAAG